rnacentral:rRNA from 1 species
CCAAUAGCGUAUAUUAAAGUUGUUGCAGUUAAAAAGCUCGUAGUUGAACUUCGGGGUCUACCCAUUGGUCAGGCUUAAUUGUCUGCACUGGUGAGAUGGAUCUCUACCUUCUGAGGAACUUUCAUGCCAUUUAUUUGGUGUGGUUGGAAAUCAGGACUGUUACUUUGAAAAAAUUAGAGUGUUUAAAGCAGACUAUCGUCUGAAUACAUUAGCAUGGAAUAAUGAAAUAGGACGGACUGACUCUAUUUCGUUGGUUUCUAGGAUCACCGUAAUGAUUAAUAGGGAUAGUUGGGGGCAUUAGUAUUCAAUUGUCAGAGGUGAAAUUCUUGGAUUUAUUGAAGACUAACUACUGCGAAAGCAUUUGCCAAGGAUGUUUUCAUUAAUCAAGAACGAAAGUUAGGGGAUCGAAGACGAUCAGAUACCGUCGUAGUCUUAACCAUAAACUAUGCCGACUAGGGAUCGGACGAAGUUAAUUUUAUAAUGACGCGUUCGGCACCUUACG